UACGUAGGCAGCGAGCGUUGUUCGGAAUUACUGGGCGUAAAGAGUGUGUAGGCGGUGUUCCAAGUUCGGUGUGAAAUCUCCCGGCUUAACUGGGAGGGUGCGCCGAAAACUGGAAUGCUCGAGCGUGGGAGAGGAAAGCGGAAUUCCUGGGUGUAGCGGUGAAAUGCGUAGAUAUCAGGAGGAACACCAGCGGUGUAGACGGCGUUUCUGGACCAUUGCUGACGCUGAGACACGAAAGCGUGGGUAGCAAACAGG
rnacentral:rRNA from 1 species